CCUACGGGGCGCUGCAGUGGGGAAUAUUGCACAAUGGGGGAAACCCUGAUGCAGCGACGCCGCGUGAGUGAAGAAGUAUCUCGGUACGUAAAGCUCUAUCAGCAGGGAAGAUAAUGACGGUACCUGACCAAGAAGCCCCGGCUAACUACGUGCCAGCAGCCGCGGUAAUACGUAGGGGGCAAGCGUUAUCCGGAUUUACUGGGUGUAAAGGGAGCGUAGACGGCAGCACAAGUCUGGAGUGAAAGGCGGGGGCCCAACCCCCGGACUGCUUUGGAAACUGGAUGGCUGGAGUGCAGGAGAGGCAGGCGGAAUUCCUAGUGUAGCGGUGAAAUGCGUAGAUAGUAGGAGGAACACCGGUGGCGAAGGCGGCCUGCUGGACUGUGACUGACGUUGAGGCCCGAAGGCGUGGGGAGCAAACAGGAUUAGAUACCCCAGUAGUC
rnacentral:rRNA from 1 species